GACGAACGCUGGCGGCGUGCUUAACACAUGCAAGUCGAACGGAAAGGCCCUGCUUUUGUGGGGUGCUCGAGUGGCGAAAGGGUGAGUAACACGUGAGUAACCUGCCCUUGACUUUGGGAUAACUUCAGGAAACUGGGGCUAAUACCGGAUAGGAGCUCCUGCUGCAUGGUGGGGGUUGGAAAGUUUCGGCGGUUGGGGAUGGACUCGCGGCUUAUCAGCUUGUUGGUGGGGUAGUGGCUUACCAAGGCUUUGACGGGUAGCCGGCCUGAGAGGGUGACCGGCCACAUUGGGACUGAGAUACGGCCCAGACUCCUACGGGAGGCAGCAGUGGGGAAUAUUGCACAAUGGGCGGAAGCCUGAUGCAGCAACGCCGCGUGCGGGAUGACGGCCUUCGGGGUGUAAACCGCUUUCGCCUGUGACGAAGCGUGAGUGACGGUAAUGGGUAAAGAAGCACCGGCUAACUACGUG
rnacentral:rRNA from 1 species